GAGCUGGCCACCACGACCUCCCUCCCCAGCCGGCCGCCACCACCUCCUCCCCCACCCCCUCCUCCACGUGCCUGGCAUAGGUGGGUCUCAGCCUCCCUCCUACCUCCGUCCAAGGCUAGGAACUCCCCUCCCCUCCCGAUCUCCUCCCUUCGUCCAAGGCCACGAGCUCCCCUCCCCUACCCGAUCUGACGAAGAGAGGGCCAGGCCUUGCCACUCCGGUGUUCGAUGUGGCCAGAUCCAGCCGGGGGACUCGCCGCAGAGCCUCCAUGUCGGCGGAGCAGCAGCAGCCCAACAUAAGGUGGGUGCCCAAUCCGUUUUUUGUUCAUAGAUUUCUGUUGUAGUUUAAUUUACUUGACAUUUUGCCAAGUCAUAGUUUUAGGACUAUCACAACAUAUGUAUUACUUUGCACCCAUGUCCUCUGUCAAAUUUGUUCAGUUCAAAGCAUUAAGACUAUGACCAGCUAUCCAAUUUGCAGUCCAGAUAUAUUGUUUCCUUAAUCAGCAAUGCAAAUUUGGGGCAGCUUCAACUUUCUUGUCUGAUUUUAUUUUGCAAUCUAUAAUCUGAACUGAAAGACAGGGGUACAUGCGCUCAGGUUUUGUAGUUGACUAACCAUUAGUAAUGCAAAUUAGGAGCCCCUUUAAUUUCUGUGAGCUGCAAGUGCAGUUGACCAAUAAUCUCAUACUUGCUCAUAAGCUGCUGAACUGAAUCAACACGCCUCUUUUGGUUCCAACAAAAAAAUUCCAUGCUUAGGACUGUAAAAUUACUUCUGUGUAAUGUUCAUAUGGGUCCGGAGGACAUUUUACACUUGAUGUUUACUUGUGCACGAGCGAAGCAAGUCUGAGCUGCCCUGGGUCUUCUAGAAAUUAUUGAAGAAGCGUCACGUAUCGAUAGAUCUGGAUCCUUUGUGUUGGAAGAGCUGCUGCGUCGGACUAUCAUAGUUCAUAUCAUAAUGUUGAUGCCUCUUUUGAUAUAGCGCUCAAAUAAGAUUAGGAGGAAGGGCAUCACACUCUCCGAUAGCAAACAAGAUACCACGUACCGAUCCUGAUUUAGAAUUAUGACAAGGAGUCAGGGACACAAUCAGAUUUAUACCAUCCGUUGUGAUGAUACAAGGAAAGUAAACAUAUACGCAUAUUGUGUUCAACGUGAUGAUACAAGCGAAAGCUGGCCUACGCCGCCAACUGAUCUGCGGCAGCGUGAAAGGAGUGUUCAAAAGUAGCAGGAACAGUUGUUCCACUGCUGGUCGGAGGGAGAGCUUGGCAAGGGAGAUAGAGGGAGCUCUACAACCACGAUCUUGGCAUACAACCCGAUGGCAUCAUGCCCACUUAAGCUUCUUCCAUGUUCCAAUUCUUGCAUUUGUUGGUCUUUUACUGUCAGAGCUUACGAAAUCCAUUACAAAUUGAGGUGAGGCCAAGUCGUGAACUUGCUGAGACGUCUUUGCCUUGAAUUCUAAGGCUUGAAUCUAAAUGGAGGCGAGGCCAAGUCUUGAACGAAUACUAAGGUUUGCAUCUUUUAUAAAGCUUGACAGUUACUGUGUAGUUUCAGUUAACAUGAUAGUCACGCGUGGUGAAUCUCUUUUCUUGUCCAGAGAUUUCACGAAUCCAUUAUUGCCUACAGAACAACAUCCUAGGGCCCUCCCAGUUUGAUUCUCUUUAUUUUGCUAUAUCUCAACUAUUACAUACAUCAUUUAUGCUCUGAAGCUAACCAUUGUAUGCUUUGAUUGGUUGGAGCGGCAAGGUUUUCCAGAUCCUGGGAGUCUAUCCCUUCCAACAAUCUGGAGGUAGCAUAGUACAUCCGUACUCGCAGGUUGGUGUCUGACUGUCUUUGAAUGGUGUUGCUCCAGUGUUGUUUUCCAAUGAUUAAUUUGCAGAAAUUGAUUAUCUGGACAUACAUGUUUGCUAUGUUUGCAUCUUGUUUACAUAUCCCUGUGAGUUCUCUUACAGGAAGAAUAUGAGUUUGGUGUUUCUUUACUGCCUGAUAUAGCUAAUAGUCUGGUACCAAUGAACGGUGCACACUGAUAGUCAGUGAUUUGAACACUAGCUUAUGCCAGAUUUUACCGGUUCCGUUUUGAGCCUUGGAAGGCUCAUUUCACAAUCUUAAUCUUUUGACUACCUUUUCAAAUGCCAGAGUAUAUUUUAUAUAGAAAAUACCGACUGCAAAGUUAUACUAUCAAGUAAAUUCCACACACAAAAUAAAUAAGAGAAACUUAUAUGUAACGUUGGCAGAUGCUUGUUGGCAUGGAACGGACAUUGUGGAUCCAGUGUGAGAAUCUCAUAGCUGCACUAACUAAUUGUACUAUUCUUUUAGAAUGACAGCCUCCCUAAGUUUGUUUCAUUUAAAAUGGUUUUCCUCACUAAUUGUAUGUCAGGCUGCAACAUCCUUAGUUCCUCCACAUACGACCCUGCGACUAAACCGAGCCGCAUACAUCUACAACACUUUUGUGUUGCUGACGCCGUCGCGGCCUCCCCGCAUGGGUUCCCAUCCUCUGUUCGCCGGCCCGCGCCCCCACAUCUCCUCACAUUAGUAUGGCUGCCGGCUGCAGAAUCGACGAGGAGGUCGCAGUGGAGGGGUGGUGCUGCAGUGGCUAGCAAGAUAUCAUAAGCUCUCCUUUGUUCUUUUGUGUUUGAAUCAGAUUCAGUGGUUCUUGAUUUUACAGUCAUGUAUCGACCACCAUUGGGUAAGCUCAUCAAGGUUUAUCUUGGUUGCAGUUUGCAUAAGCUAGGUUUGGAUUACACUGACCUUUGCCAGAUAUAUUUGCUUGAUAGGUCGAUUGCAUUAUAUGCUAGAGGGUGCAAUGCCAUGUUUUUAAUGCUUGUAUCAUGUGCACCCUAGAGCCGUAACACUGGUUGUUUCAGGCCCUAAAUAAAAUCUGACACUUGAAAAUUAUCGGGGCAUGCCGUUUGAACUAUCACACCCCAUAUAAAAUGGUGGAUUAUGCCAUGAUCGUAUAAGUCUUGCUUACCCUGUAAUUAUGUUCAUAUGUUUGGACAGAGGGAAUAUGAUCUGAGCCGCCGUUAUGUGUUUCUACUAAUUAAAGAACAACUAGGGUCACUUGAAAGAAGAUGAGCUGGAAGAAUUCCACGAUAGACCAUUGCUUCAAGGUUGGGAGCGGCCACAACAUAAUUGACAUCAAAACCAGAUCUGGGUCCUACAUAUCCGGUCUUGCUCGUAUCCUACAAUGGUUUACAGAUGGUGUGGCUCCUUGCACUAAGAUGAUCGAUCAGAGAUCUAGAGUCCUCAAUACAGAUCGAUGACGCCUCCUCAAGAUUCACUUCUUCGUAGCCCCCAACCUUGGUAUAGUAUAAAAACCUAUAAAUAAAUCAGAAGAAUAGGCAAUUAUCGGAUGCUUAUGUUUGUUGGUGUAGUAGCCCUCUUAAGUCCAGUCCUAGAGAAGUGUGUCGUAGAAGCAUAUCAGGAAGACAUGGACGUGGAUAUGCAUUAUGGUUGUAUUAUGGACGUGGAUAUAUAUUUUACAUAUUUUUCUGAGUUUGUUCUCAGGGGUGGGUCGUGGCUACCUGGUAACGGUCCAAUUUGGUUGUUUUAUGAUCUUGUCAAGAUA